rnacentral:snRNA from 1 species
GAAUGUGAGGGCAGGCGACCUGGCUGUGACAUCUGUCACCCCAUUGAUCGCCAGGGUUGAUUCGGCUGAUCUGGCCAGCUAGGCGGGUGUCCCCUCCCUCCCUCACCGCUCCAUGUGUGUCCCUCCCGAAGCUGUGCGCUCAGUAGAAGAGGACGACCUUCCCCGAUAGAGGAGCACCGUUCUUUGGUCAAGGGUAUACGAGUACCUGUGCUCCCCUGCUAGAACUCCCAAACAAGCUCUCAAAAUAGCAACAAUGGAGAUAAAAUUUGAGUAAAAUUUGUAGUCUAUAUCCAUUGUAGUCACAUCCAUUAAAAAAUAGGCUUCUGAAAAGAUUUUAUGACAUGGCAAAAUGCUUU